rnacentral:rRNA from 1 species
UACAGAGACUGCAAGCGUUAUUCGGAUUCACUGGGCGUAAAGCGCGCGUAGGUGGCUUCGUAAGUCCGUUGUGAAAGUCAAAGGCUCAACCUUUGAAAGCCGAUGGAUACUGUGAAGCUAGAGUACGGAAGAGGCGAGUGGAAUUCCUGGUGUAGCGGUGAAAUGCGCAGAUAUCAGGAGGAACACCGGUGGCGAAGGCGGGUCUCUGGGCAACAACUGACGCUGAGGAGCGAAAGCGUGGGGAGCGAACAGG